ensembl:lncRNA
ACCAGGGACAAGGAAAGGGAAGGGCCAGCCCCAAAGCCCUUGGGAUGCCUUGUCAACAGGCCAGUGUCCUUUGGAAAACAUUCCAAAGGAAACAACAAAAGUGAGACAAAGGAUUUCCUUCCUCUUCCCUCAUGUCAGAAAUUCCCUGAGGGUCUUUCCUGGACUACUUGUCUGUCUCUAUAACAAUCCUACACACUGGUCAAAGUUUUUAAGGCCAAAAGUUUUAAAGGAAAUGGAAAGAGAAGUAAGAUUUAAAAUAUGUGUCAGAGUCUGUUGCUGUCACUGUGGGAGCUUAUUCUUUCUUGUCACAGCGAACAAAGCUGAGGAAACAGAUUUUUCCAUGUUACAUUUGAUGGGGGUGGGACCCAUGGCCUAGAACUGGGGGUCAGUGGAAGAUAGAGCACACCCAUUAGAGAAAGGGGUCAGCAAGAAGGAAGAUAGAAGCAGAUGCCAACGGGGCAGGGGGCUGUAGGGAAAAGAGGGGGAAGAGGGAGGGGGCAAAAGGAGGAAGAAGUGGAGGAGGAGGGGAUGAAGAGGAGGAGAAGGAGGAAGAAGAGGAAGAGGGGAAAGGAGGAAGAGGAGGAGGAGGAGGAAGUGGAGGAAGAGGAAGAAGAGAGGAUGCACAUGAAGAAGAGAAAUCACCACUGCCUUGUCUGCCUUCACUUCUCCCUGCCUCUCGCAUCCUCUACCUGUUCUCAGUCAAGUUCUUGCCACUGGCACUUAACUUGUCUUCCCUUUAUGGACCUCAACAAUCCACCCCUCCAGGUCUUUCCCGCCUCUCACCUGGACUGGUCUGUGGCUUCCAAUAAUAGUCUUCUUAGCUUCAGUUUCUCCCAUCUCCAGCCUUGCCCCACAGACAGAGUGCAGCAGUCAGGGCCCAUCAGAGACCAGGUGUGUAGGAGUUGAGAGAUGGUAACUGUUCCUUCUUCAUGGAUGCUCACAGUAGCACCUUUAGAUAACCCUGCUUUUGGCUUCUUUCAGGUACAAUUAUUUCCUCAGCAAAGACCUAGCCUUCCUUUAUCUUUCCCCACAGUGGACAAGUAAGGAUGGCAUUCAACCUGUCACUCAAUGGCAGGUGACCAUCAUUCAGUUUACACUACAUCAGUUACACUACAUCUAGAAAGAUGGCCGCAACCUAACACAAUGGCAAACGUUAAAAAUGAGCAAAGGAAAAAUCUCUGCCUCAUACCACAGAGCAUUGUGUACAGGCAGCAUGGUUUGGAGGGCCAUAAGAGUGCCAUUUAGUGAAGCCAAGGAUAUACAGAUGUGUUCAUGGCUUAGCCUGAGGUGAUGGAGGGCCCGGGGUAAGUAAGGCACAGAACAGACCUUUCUUUUUGAGAUGGAGUUUUGCUUUUGUUGCCCAGGCUGGAGUGCAAUGGCGCAAUCUUGGCUCACUGCAACCUCUGCCUCCCAGGUUCAAGUGAUUCUCCUGCCUCAGCCUACCAAGUAGCUGGGAUUACAGGCAUGUACCACCACACUUCAGUAAUUUUUUUGUAUUUUUAGUAGAGACGGGGUAUCUCCAUGUUGGUCAGACUGGUCUCGAACUCCUGACCUCAGGUGAUCCACCUGCCUCUGCCUCCCAAAGUGCUGGGAUUAUAGGUGUGAGCCACCGCGCCCGGUCAGAACAGACUUUGUAUGUACUUCUCCCCAUCAAGAAUGAAGAACAAUCAUUUGGUUGCCUGGAACUGCUGGUAAGAUUCACAUUUUUUCCUCCUAGCCCAGGAGUAGGGGGAAUGGGGACAAAAACAGUAUCUUACAUACUGGCUUCACCGAACAAAGAGAAGGACACAGAAGAAAAGCAGUAACAAAAUCUUGGGCAACAAAACCAGUAGUGCCUUCCUGUCCAAGACUUGGUGGGCCCCUUGAACCACAGUGCUAAUGGGAUCACAAAGCAAGGAACAACUUGAAAACCAAGGUCACCCCUUUAGUGAUCACCAAGGCAGGACAUCUAUCCUAGUUAUGGAGAAAGAGCAGUGACCAACUCAUCACUGUUGCCAGCUGCACAUCCAGGCAGCAAAUGCAAGGAACCUGCUGAGUGACCUCCAAGACAAAAGACAGUGGAGCAGCAUUCAGAGAGUCUCGAGGGAAGAGGGGAAUGACCUC